AUUGAACGCUGGCGGCAGGCUUAACACAUGCAAGUCGAGCGGAGAUGAGGUGCUUGCACCUUAUCUUAGCGGCGGACGGGUGAGUAAUGCUUAGGAAUCUGCCAUUUAGUGGGGGACAACAUUCCGAAAGGAAUGCUAAUACCGCAUACGUCCUACGGGAGAAAGCAGGGGAUCUUCGGACCUUGCGCUAAAUGAUGAGCCUAAGUCGGAUUAGCUAGUUGGUGGGGUAAAGGCCUACCAAGGCGACGAUCUGUAGCGGGUCUGAGAGGAUGAUCCGCCACACUGGGACUGAGACACGGCCCAGACUCCUACGGGAGGCAGCAGUGGGGAAUAUUGGACAAUGGGCGGAAGCCUGAUCCAGCCAUGCCGCGUGUGUGAAGAAGGCCUUUUGGUUGUAAAGCACUUUAAGCGAGGAGGAGGCUACUAGUACUAAUACUACUGGAUAGUGGACGUUACUCGCAGAAUAAGCACCGGCUAACUCUGUGCCAACAGCCGCCGCAGUAA
rnacentral:rRNA from 1 species